rnacentral:rRNA from 1 species
GACCCUCGGGCCUCUUGCCAUCGGAUGUGCCCAGAUGGGAUUAGCUAGUAGGUGGGGUAACGGCUCACCUAGGCGACGAUCCCUAGCUGGUCUGUGAGGAUGACCAGCCACACUGGAACUGAGACACGGUCCAGACUCCUACGGGAGGCAGCAGUGGGGAAUAUUGCACAAUGGGCGCAAGCCUGAUGCAGCCAUGCCGCGUGUAUGAAGAAGGCCUUCGGGUUGUACAGUACUUUCAGCGGGGAGGAAGGGAGUAAAGUUAAUACCUUUGCUCAUUGACGUUACCCGCAGAAGAAGCACCGGCUAACUCCGUGCCAGCAGCCGCGGUAAUACGGAGGGUGCAAGCGUUAAUCGGAAUUACUGGGCGUAAAGCGCACGCAGGCGGUUUGUUAAGUCAGAUGUGAAAUCCCCGGGCUCAACCUGGGAACUGCAUCUGAUACUGGCAAGCUUGAGUCUCGUAGAGGGGGGUAGAAUUCCAGGUGUAGCGGUGAAAUGCGUAGAGAUCUGGAGGANAUNACNCNGGUGGCGAAGGCGGCCCCCUGGACGAAGACUGACGCUCAGGUGCGAAAGCGUGGGGAUCAAACAGGNAUUAGAUACCCUGGUAGUCCACGCCGUAAACGAUGUCGACUUGGAGGUUGUGCCCUUGAGGCGUGGCUUCCGGAGCUAACGCGUUAAGUCGACCGCCUGGGGAGUACGGCCGCACNGGUUAAAACUCAAAUGAAUUGACGGGGGCCCGCACAAGCGGUGGAGCAUGUGGUUUAAUUCGAUGCAACGCGAAGAACCUUACCUGGUCUUGACAUCCACGGAAGUUUUCAGAGAUGAGAAUGUGCCUUCGGGAACCGUGAGACAGGUGCUGCAUGGCUGUCGUCAGCUCGUGUUGUGAAAUGUUGGGUUAAGUCCCGCAACGAGCGCAACCCUUAUCCUUUGUUGCCAGCGGUCCGGCCGGGAACUCAAAGGAGACUGCCAGUGAUAAACUGGAGGAAGGUGGGGAUGACGUCAAGUCAUCAUGGCCCUUACGACCAGGGCUACACACGUGCUACAAUGGCGCAUACAAAGAGAAGCGACCUCGCGAGAGCAAGCGGACCUCAUAAAGUGCGUCGUAGUCCGGAUUGGAGUCUGCAACUCGACUCCAUGAAGUCGGAAUCGCUAGUAGUCGUGGAUCAAAUGCCACGGUGAAUACC